rnacentral:lncRNA from 1 species
UCUCACGGUUGUAAGGUACUCGCAAUUUCUCUUCCAAUGGCCCUCUUUGUUAUAGUGAUAGCAAGUACCUUUGGUGGAGACCUUCUUUGCCUUCUUCUUGGAAAUGCUAGUCUUAAGAUUCAUCUUUUUUUUAGAAUCCUUCUUGUCUUUCUUCUUGUUGAUCUUAUCGAUAAGAAGAACCAGAGCCUUUUCACCUUUGAAAUGGUUCUCUUCUAUUUUCAACAUGUUCAGCAGCUCUGGCAGGUUGAUAUUUAGCUUGUUCAUAUGGUAAUUUAUAACAAACUGAGAAAAAGAGUCAGGGAGAGACUACAUGAUCAAAUUCUGGCUCAGUUCAUCAUCCAUGGCAAAGCCCAGCUAUAUCAGAUGAGUGAUCAUCAAAUCAAUCAUCUUCAGGACAUGCAUUUGCACGGAGGUGCCUUCAGUUAUGCGGGCACAAAACAAUUGCUUUGAUAUCUCAUAUCGAGCAAUUCGACUUUAUUCCCCAUAUAACUUUUUAAGAUUAAGAAGUAUUAAGGGAACAUCCAUGUCCAUAUGCUGCCUCUGGAGCUCGUUGCUCAUCGAGGCAAGCAUGAUGCAUUUGACAGUCACACUGUCAUCUUUCACUCUUGUAUCUGGCCCUUUCCUCCUCAGAAGCAUCUUCUCCAAAGAAAUCUGGUGCAGGUGUAUCCAGAAUGUAGAAGACUUUCUCGUGAGUGAGAACAAUUCUCAACUUUCUUAACCAGUCCACUUUGUUAGGUCCGAUCAAUUUGUUUACAUCUAGGAUGUCUCCAAGUGACAGUGAGAAUGCCAUGUGUGUAGUUAAUCUACAAUAAUAAUAACAUAAUGUAAGCGGACGAUUCAUGAUGACAUUCACAACUAUAUUUAAACUUUUGCUUAUUUGUGUCUCCCACUAUUUUAUCAAACUUCAUAGCCCUUUUCUAUGAAAAUCGAGAAACAUACUAAUAUUUUUUAGUGGGGUUGAGAUCUCUAUUCCUCACAAAUACCUUGUGGGUAGCACAAUAAGUAUCAUGAGUUCAAGAGUAGGUAACUCUUUACCAAUUGUAUUUCUAUAAUUCUCAAUAUUUUUUUUUCUGGCCUCUAGAUCACAUAUAGCCUUGUGGAUUACACAACAAACUAUAGUGUUCUAGCUAAGUUAACCCUUUAAUCCCAUAUGGUCAUACUUAAACAAUACUGUUCUUGGGGAUAGCACAACAAAGCAAUACUAUUUAAAAUAUACCAUAAGCAUCAAUAUGCACUUGAUCAACAUCAUAUCAAUUUCUAUAGUAAGCCUUAUGGAUAGCAUAAUAAGCUCACUAAGAUCUUGACAUACUCUAUCGAUCAAGUUUGAAGAAAGGCCUUUGUAGUGUCUACAUCACUAAUCAAUAUAAAUUCAAAAUUUAAUAAGACCAAAUUGGCCAGGUCAGUAGGUGGGAGGCUCUCCGUAGCUUUUCUUAGACACCAACAUAGUUAGCCAGGCC